rnacentral:lncRNA from 1 species
AAGUCUUUUACAUUUUAAUUACUGUGUAACUUUUAUAAUUUUAUUGGGCUUUAUAAUUUUAUAGGACUAAGAAGUAUAUACAUUUGCAUUAACACAGUUUUAUGCAUUAAACAAUAUUUUAACAAAAAUAAUUCAAGACAAUAUUGAGUCCAAAAGAAUUAUUUUUUUCCUUAAGGAAGUCCACAUGUUACUCAAGGUAAAGAAA